rnacentral:rRNA from 1 species
AUGGAUCUGCUCCGGGUGGUGAUGAUGGGCGCAAGCGGGACACCGUAUCAUGACGGCCUCUUCUUCUUCGAUCUGCAGCUACCUCCUUCGUACCCGGAUGCCCCACCACAAGUGUAUUACCACUCCUUCGGCCUACGCCUCAAUCCAAACCUCUACGAGUCUGGUACAGUGUGCCUCAGCCUGCUAAACACAUUCGGUGGCGAGGGCACCGAGGUCUGGUCCUCGACGGAGUCAAGCCUCCUCCAAGUCGUUGUCUCCAUCCAGGGCCUUGUCUUCAAUGACAAACCAUACUACAAUGAGACUGGCUACGAGACAAUGGUCGACAAACCGGAGGGUCGCCGCAAUGCGCUGCCCUACAGUGAGAAUGCUUACCUGCUCACCCUCCGGACCAUGCUACACCUUUUACGUCGGCCACCUCGGGGAUUUGAGGAAUUCGUUAAGGAACACUUCCGCCAUCGGGGAAGGUUUGUGCUCGGGGCAUGCAAUGCGUGGCUGCAGGGAAAUAUUGUCGACAAUGCUCAUGCCACUGAAGUGAGUAGGAAGCAGCCGUGCUCGGCUGGGUUAAGGCUUGCACUCACCAAGGUAGUGCCAAGCCUCGUGGCAGCCUUCACAGAGAUCCGAGCCAAGGGGUGCGAAGAGUACCAGUAG